AUACAACUGACGAGUCUCGAACAGGACGAAACACGUGUUUUGGAU
rnacentral:hammerhead_ribozyme from 1 species